GGCAAAGCCCUUCUGGGGGAGCCCUAGUGCCUGGCAUGAGCGGAGCGGGCUUCCAGGGAGGUAUUCACCUGGUCAGCGUCAGGAACCAUCCUCCCUGAAGCCUCGGCUCCCUGUUUCCCUUCGGUCGCCGUGGGUGUGCCGGACGCCUCUGGCAGGACUAACCCUGUGGCUUUUAUGUCCAGCGUGCUGUGCUGUGUGUGCCUGCAGGUCAUGUUUAUCUGCCUGUCAGGACUGUUGGAGCACUGGAUGGAGAGCAGGUCAUAUGAAGAGGAUUACGGAGUAAAAGGCAGCUUGUACUGAAGUGCAGGGAAAGUAUAAAUAUUUAUAUAUAUUGGCACAGUGCCUGGCCUUAAUGCUUAAAAUCCUUUGGAGAGCUGUCUGCAUAUUUACUGUAUUAAUGAUCAAAUGCAAGGCUGUGUUGGGAAAGGUCUUCCAUUUGGAAGUCAGUAGUUGAGACUGUCUUGCCUAUGAAAAAGAGGGAGAAUUUUCGUUAGAGGAUGUAGGAUUCUGGCUGGUAAUAGUCUUAAUUCAAGGUAUUUUUAGAGAAUUGGUUUAAUACAAGCAGAACAAAUGGCCAGAAGUGUAAUGAGAGACAAGUUGAAAUUAGAAAGUAGAUGUGCAUUUUGAAUGUAUUGUCAUAGCAACUGAUUAAAUUCUCCCUCUCUUGCUGUUCUGGGGACCUUUUAAAUGUGCUUUGGCUAAAUAAAAAGUCUUAGACUAUUUCAGAGCCAAAAGGUCAGUUCUUGUUGUCUCUUUUGCACUUUAAUUCUAGUACACUGAUACUUGCUAACCACUUAUAACCCUAGAUGCAGAAUGAGAACUUGGGUUAUUAACAGUAAAGAAGUAAACAGCAGAAAGACUUGACCUUUCUUUUGAAUUGCCCUACAGUGUUACAAAAUACCAAACAAACCUCCUUCCCCAAAGAAACACCCCCCAAAAUACCCCAACAACUCACCAAACACAAAAUCACCGACAACCAAAAAGCAGAAGUAACAAACAUGAACAGCAAGUGGAGGAAGAGUUUGAAAGCGGGCUGGACAGAAGCAGAAGUGUUACUGCCCACUCUUAGGCCACUGUGCUGAUUAAAUGGGUGUUGUUAGGUUUAGAUUAGUAGUUCGUCGUUGUUGGGUUUUUCGGUGGUGUUGAUUUUUUUUGUUGUCGUUGUGGGGGAUUGUUUAUUUGUUUGUUUUUAUUUUGUUUUUUUUUUCUGUAUUAAAAAUCUGGCUCAGUUA